GAUGAACGCUAGCUACAGGCUUAACACAUGCAAGUCGAGGGGUAACGAGAGGGAAGCUUGCUUUCCUUGUCGACGACCGGCGCACGGGUGAGUAACGCGUAUCCAACCUGCCCCCAACUAGGGAAUAACCUUGCGAAAGUAAGACUAAUACCCUAUAAUUUCCUCAGAUGUCAUCUGACGAGGACUAAAGAUUUAUCGGUUGUGGAUGGGGAUGCGUCUGAUUAGCUUGUUGGCGGGGUAACGGCCCACCAAGGCAACGAUCAGUAGGGGUUCUGAGAGGAGGGUCCCCCACAUUGGAACUGAGACACGGUCCAAACUCCUACGGGAGGCAGCAGUGAGGAAUAUUGGUCAAUGGGCGGAAGCCUGAACCAGCCAAGUAGCGUGCAGGAUGACGGCCCUAUGGGUUGUAAACUGCUUUUAUACAGGAAUAAAGUUAGCCACGUGUGGUUAUUUGUAGGUACUGUAUGAAUAAGGACCGGCUAAUUCCGUGCCAGCCGCCGCCGUAA
rnacentral:rRNA from 1 species